GCGGGCGUGGUUCAAUGGUAGAACAUCAGCUUCCCAAGCUGAGGACGCGGGUUCGAUUCCCGUCGCCCGCUCCA
rnacentral:tRNA from 2 species